UACGAGGGGUGCGAGCGUUAUUCGGAAUUAUUGGGCGUAAAGGGUACGUAGACGGCAUACUAAGUCGACUGUUAAAUCCCCCAGCCUAACUGGGGAGCUGCGGUCGAUACUGAUAUGCUAGAGGGUGGAAGAGAGAAGUGGAAUUCUCGGAGUAGCGGUAAAAUGCGUAGAUCUCGAGAGGAACACCGAUGGCGAAGGCAGCUUCUUGGUCCACUCCUGACGUUGAGGUACGAAAGCGUGGGGAGCAAACAGG
rnacentral:rRNA from 1 species